AUGGUGACCAGCACCCUGGACGCCAGGGCCAGGACGUCGGCGCAGGAAACCACGCCGGGGCACUCCAGCUCCAGGGCCAACUUGGAGCGCACCACGGCGUCGAAGGCGUCGCCGGGGAGGGAGUGGUUGAUCUCGGCGUCCUUCUCGGAUUUGGCGAAGCGGGUGGGCGCGAUCAGCACGGAGGCGUCGCAGCCGGUCACGAAGCAGUCGUGGAAGAAGACGCGAAGCAUGCCCGCGGCGGUGGUCGGGUUCGCCAUCUGCUUCGACUGGACCACCUCCGCGAUGAUCCGCUCCGCCCGUGGGCACGUCUGGCUGUAG
rnacentral:rRNA from 1 species